rnacentral:lncRNA from 1 species
UCUAGCCACUGCAGUCACCAGUUUGGUGUCUAGAGGGAGGAAGAUGGAGUUCUGCAUCAGGAGAAUUCUUUUUUUUCAACAUGGACAUGACUAAGGAGGAAGAUGUAGGAGAAAAAAAUCGAACCGUGGUUUGCAAAGGCGCUGCGGUUAUCUGAAGAGGCUGGAAAAAAAUAUAACGAUACCAGACGCUAUUCAGUGAUAUUUCGGUUGUAUCCAGUAAACUGAAUAAGAAGAAAUUUAAGAUAAAACAUGUCAUUCCAUUGGAUCACCUGUGGAUUGGUGAUGAAGUGGACGUGUUCAGUUUCAUGGAAAAGACCACUUGGUUGCAUUUCUUUCUACAAAGCCUUCAGGCCAGGGCGAUAUUCAUACUAAUGAGGUGCUUCAUGCUCCACCAAUCCCUGGAGGACAAGUAUACAACCGUAGCCUGUUAUGUAUAAAAGGCGAGCGCCUUUGCUGCUCGGGAUCCCCGUAUCAACAAUGAGGUGGUCCUGCAAUAAAGGCUGUUGAGAAGAAUCCGAC